rnacentral:rRNA from 1 species
AUUGAACGCUGGCGGCAGGCCUAACACAUGCAAGUCGAACGAGAGGGGGACGGGUGAGUAAUGUCUGGGAAACUGCCCGAUGGAGGGGGAGAAAUCCUGGAAACGGUAGCUAAUACCGCAUACCAUCGGAGGUGCCCAGAUGGGAUUAGCUAGUAGGUGGGGUAACGGCUCACCUAGGCGACGAUCCCUAGCUGGUCUGAGAGGAUGACCAGCCACACUGUAACUGAGACACGGUCCAGACUCCUACGGGAGGCAGCAGUGGGGAAUAUUGCACAAUGGGCGCAAGCCUGAUGCAGCCAUGCCGCGUGUAUGAAGAAGGCCUUCGGGUUGUAAAGUACUUUCAGCGAGGAGGCGUUACUCGCAGAAGAAGCACCGGCUAACUCCGUGCCAGCCGCCGCGGUAAUAC